AUUUUUAUUUAGAUCGUUAGGAUAUUUUUGUAUCUCUAUGGUAUCUCUAUAUUUUCUUGGAAAGUAUGAUGUUGGUUAUUGUCGUUUUGUCAAACAAUAUUUGAUAUUCUGUUUCGAUGUUGUAUUCUGAUUGACGUGUUUUAAUCUGACGUCACGUUGGUGUUCUAUCCGUAGGUUGACCUUUCUCCCAGUUUCUCCAAUGUAUACUUGUUCGCAGGAACAAGGUAUUUUGUAUACUCCUGCGGAGCUGGAUGGAGGUCUUUGAUCUUUAGGAUUUCUUAAGAUUUGUCCUACCUUUUGGGUGGUUUAAAGAUCAUUAGAACAAGCAGACAAUAUCCGCAGACAGCUGAUAAAGACAACACGACAGUCAUGAACACAUCAGACUAUAAGAAAAAUAAUAAAGAACCUUCUCUCGGACAAAGCAUACAAAAAGCUUGAUAAAGAUCCAACUAAUACAAUCGCGCAGAACACUAAGAUCCUGGAAGAAAAAAGUUUUUGUGAGUGGUGGUGUGACUCUGCAUAUAGUGAAAUGGAUAUUUGGAUGUUGAAGAAAAUUUACAGAGUUCGGCUUUAUCGUGUCUCCAUAUCAUGAAUGUGUCAUAUACAUAACAGAACCUACAAACUUCUGGUUUUUGAGUGUUUUUCUGAGGGCCUCUUUCUCAAAAUGCUCUAUGAAGAUGUUGGCGAUUACAAAGAAAAAUAGGAGAGCCCAUUGUCGCUUCUGAAGUUUGUUCAUAAAAUUGAUAUUAUGUCUACUUUUUUUUAUUUGUGUUGCUUUUGCAACCUACUGUACUACACAUCAUGGGCAUUUUUGUAUAAUAUUGUUAUGCGUAAACAUGACGUCAAUUAUAGAUUAUUAAAUUCGCCAAAUACUUGGUUCAGACAGGUUAGAGAUCAUAUGCCUAGUAUAGAAUAAUGCAAAGAGUAAUAAAGUACAAAAUGCCAUAUUACUGUGGCCAACCAAUCGCAUAUAACGUAGUUAUCCUCACCACCUGAAAGACCAUACACUUCCUCCUGUUAUUUCUUACCUCCAUGAUUACAUAUAAAAAUGAUUUGUAUACAAAUGCAAAGAACAAUAUAGUGACGCGAAUUUAUUCCUGCUAGUAGUAACACUCCUGCUAGUAGUAACAGUAGUAUAGUAAUACUAGUAUGUUUUUAUACAGAUUCUUUUUCAAAUUGAAAGCGCUUGAAGAUAAAGAUAGAAUGAUUACAAGCACUUAAAGAGCGCGUGAUCAUCCAUAAUGAACACAGCUAUAUUAAUUUAUGUUUAUAUUGUGAUAAAGACAUCG